rnacentral:misc_RNA from 1 species
GGCCGUAGUGCUCUUCAAGAUGGGCAAAUUGUCGCUUGAAACGAUCGACCCCACUUGGAUACAUGAAGUGUGUCUGGUCCGAGCCACCAAGAUACUCCUGCAGCAUCUGAGGGUGAUACUCUAGAAUCUCUCUAUAAAUUAACUCCCUCACAUCAUCUUUGGACAAUUUCCUCCUCUCGAACUCAAAUUCAAGUUUUGAGAUGGGCUGUGUUGAGGGUUCCCGAUCAACACUGGCCAGACCUUGAAAGUACGGAUCAGCUAAUGCCUCU